UCACCAGUGCCAAGUACAGGGGGAAAAUCACUGCCCUUGUCCUACACUAUUGCUGAUAUAAGCCAGGAUGCCACUGGCCUUCUUGGCCACCUGGGCACACACUGGCUCAUGUUUAGGUGUUGUCGACCAGCACCAUCAGGUCCUUUUUCACUGGGCAGCUUGCUGCCUGGAGCAGUGGGGACACUGGUAACAACAUGGCAGAGUGUCACCAUGGUGUCAGUAAGAGCUGUCAGCCUUUCUUCUAGGAACACACUUCCAGGGCUGCAUCUUCUUUCUCACCUGGCAUUAAAAGAUCUCCACCUGAAUGUCACCUUGCAUCAGGCCAGCAUCUUUACUAGCCUCAGGUAAAGGUCCUUACUUUCGGGCACACACCUCUUUACUUUAGGUCUGUCAUUAGUGAAGGUUUCAGUGUGGCCAGGGCAGCAACUCUUCUGCAGAGAGAAGGUGCCACCUCAUUGCUCUGGGACUGCAGCAGUGCUAACCACAGCCCCAAGAUCCCAGAGGUGCUCCACGCAAUGCCAGAGCACACCACUCUGCAGAAACCCUGACCAUGAAGUAAGAAGGCUGCCAGGGUGUGACUGGAUGGGAAUGGCUGGCAGAGGGAGAGAAGGGAAGGUGUCUUCCAGUGAGCUGGGAUUGCAAGGGCAUGAGCUGAGAGACCAGACUGCUGCACAGGGAGUAGAUGCACUGGAUUAAAAUCAUCUCAAUCAAAUAAACUCAUUCUCUGCCUGUGAUGGUAGCUUUUUCCCACCUAUGCUACCUCUCCAAGGGCUGGAGCACAUGGGAGAACAUGUACUCUCCCGUGCAUCACUUCGAGCAGCCACUGGGAAUAAUCUGUGUGGGGUGCAAGAAGCCAAAGUAGGCAUUUCCUUCUUCACUGUGCUUCUAAAGAGGUUUUGAGAGACAAUAUUCCUUUUGCAUUUUGUCUUAAGGGAAUCAGUUGGUUCAACAGGCAGUCCAAAAGCAUUUUGGCUAAAGGACAUAUGGCAUAAGCUGUCAGUGUAGUUUCACCCUCCCUCCAGUGCCUCAUCAAAACUAACAUGACCUUCUUGAUGAGGAGAAAUAGCUAAAUCUUUAAAAAGAGGCAGGAAGGUGUUUGAACUCUAAGGGAAAUACUAAAAAUCUUUAUUCAAACAUAUUAAUAUGUAUUAAGAGGCACAGACAGUAAUUACAUGGUGUUUACACUGAGUUAUUUAAACAGGAACAGAGUGCUUGGCAAAUUAACAUAUAGAACAAUACUGCUCUAGUAGCUCAAAUGAUAAUAAGACCUAAUAGGAUUUCCCUAUCCCUAAUUCUGCUGAAUCCAAGUGAGGCUGAUUUAAAAGUUGUAAAUGUGCAGGAGGUGGCUUCUGAGACAACAAAAAGCAUUUCUAUGCCCUGAAAAACAAGCUUUGAGGAUGUGACAACACAUGAAAAAUUCCUUCAGCUGUACCUCUGCUCAGCACGGUUUGGGUGAGCUGAGGCUGCCCUAGCGGCAGGUUUGUCGUAUCUUGCUUCAUUUCCAUAUGCAUUCUGCUCCUGUGGCUUUCGUGGCAGCUUCCUCUCAGCUGGUACUGCACCCCACUGCAUCAGCACACAAGGAGCGAGUUCCUGGACUGAUGAACUUGAAGAGAACAGGCAAUGCUGUCAGGAGGCACCAGGAGAGGUGUCCCUGCCCGGGGCGGCUCACAGGCUUGAUCUCAGCAGGCUGCAGUGUUUGAGGCAGGCAUGCGGGGAGGACAGAGAGGAACAGGCAAGUGAGGAAGAAGUAAGGAAAUUGCUCAGCCAGCAGAAACAAAGCUCAGUUAAGUCUCCUGAAAAUUCCUCAGAAAAUUAGAAAACCAGCAAGCCUCCACUUCAUAUGAAUCAGCUCCAAGAGAGGGGCACUGACCUCGUCUCACCAGGAAUAUCAAACAUCUCCACAGCUUUGAUGAGCCUUUUGAUGAGAGUGGAAAAAGGAGAAACGUACACAUCAGCUGUGUAAGCAUGUGCUGGAUGGGUCUGGAUGCAUCCUAAGGAUCCUGGAGGAAGCAACACAGAGUGAUUUCACAGUGUGAAAGCCAGUACCUGCAAUGCUUGUGAAGGGAGUGGGUAAAUCCUCAGACCAUGGAAUUUGGGCUUUCUGAUACAGAUGGAAUCCAGAUUGACAAGAAGAUGAGAAGCAGGUGCUCCAGUCAUGUAUGGCCUGGGCAAGGUGAGAGGCUUGUGCUGAGUGAUGUGGAAGUGCUCACUCCUGACCUGCUGGACACUGAGAAGGCUGCAACCCACCAAACAGUAGCACUGUCUAUUGAGCAUUCUCCAUUGAAAAUGUUCUGGUUUUCUCUGUAAGGAAGUUUAUUCUUGUAUCUCCAAAGUGACGGGAAGUAAUGACAAUUUCUCUUUCUUGUUGUCACCAGCUCCUCAACUCAGCACGUCUUGCUGGUAACUUAUCCUUCCAUUGCAAUAAAGCAGCCUUGGUCUUUCACAUCAUGUUAAAGAAAAUAACCAACAGAGUCCUUAAACCAGGCUUGGCUUGACUGUAUAUUUCAAGUGAGUGCAGCAGUAAAAGGAAACCCUAUUAGUACUACUUCCCCAUAGCUGGCCUCGCUCAAUGCCUAGUGUUAAGAUAAAUUAUGUCCUUCAGUGUGUAAGAUGAAAUAAGAGUUGCUAUCACAGCAGGAUGAGUUUCUCAAACAUUACUUACAUUAGGCAGCAAUCUAUUUUUCCCACAGAAGGAAAAAUUUUGAAAAUAGAUAACCAAGCUUAUCUUGGAGAUCUAUCACUUGGGGCCAUAAUCCAUGAUCUGUGUAGACUCUGUGCAAAGUAUAUUAUUUUCUCUAACAGCCUUUAACAGCGACUUUGACAGAACUAUUAUUUUCUUCUGAAUGAUAUAUAAACAAAUUCAGUUCUACAACUUCAUGUCCAGUCAUCUCUGUUCAUUGUUCUUUUAUUCCAAGUAUUCCUUGGCAUGGUUUAAGAGCUACUGAAGUAUUUAAUAGCUGUUUAAAAGUAACAGCUAUUACUAUUUAGACUAAACAUAAGUAGAGGACAACUAAAUUACCUUUGCAAGUAAAGUGUGCAUGGAGAAGGAUUUAAGAGAAAUGAAAUUUUAAAUCCAGUUACUCCAUUAUUCUCUCUGUUUUAAGUGAGAAAGCAGAAUGGGUUUGCAACAUUAAGUACAGGGGAAGACUAUUCUGAGUCUAAUACAAAUAUGAAGGUACUGUUAGAGAGAAUUUGCCAGUUGCUUAGCCCUUGGAGAGCCACUUCUGGGACUGCUUAGGUAGGGAUUCUUGGCUCUACAUCUCAAAUGUGAUCAACAUUUUGCUUGCAAUUCUUGAUCACUAAAGGGUAUGCCAGUUGUGAACAAGAAUGUAUUUUCCAUUCAGAUGGAGAAAGUAGGGGGAAAGGUUUAAGACGGUGUGUCUCAUUUCUCUUGAGAUCUAUCCAAGAUCUUAAAAAAUCAAUGGGAAAUCUUUCUGUUGAGUUCACCAUGCUCUGGAUCAUAUCCUUACAGAGCUUAUUUUAUUGUCAAGUCCAUUCCUUCUUCUCCCUUCUGUUGCUCAAUUUGCUCUCUGCUGUUAGGAUCUUUUUUGCAAAUAUUAAUAAAUCUGUAUAAUCUUUGGCCUUUA